rnacentral:rRNA from 1 species
GAUGAACGCUGGCGGCGUGCCUAAUACAUGCAAGUCGAGCGAAUGGAUUAAGAGCUUGCUCUUAUGAAGUUAGCGGCGGACGGGUGAGUAACACGUGGGUAACCUGCCCAUAAGACUGGGAUAACUCCGGGAAACCGGGGCUAAUACCGGAUAACAUUUUGAACCGCAUGGUUCGAAAUUGAAAGGCGGCUUCGGCUGUCACUUAUGGAUGGACCCGCGUCGCAUUAGCUAGUUGGUGAGGGAACGGCUCACCAAGGCAACGAUGCGUAGCCGACAUGGGAGGGUGAUCGGCGACACUGGGACUGAGACACGGCACAGACUCCUGCGGGAUGCAGCAGUAGGGAAUCUUCCGCAAUGGAGGAAAGUCUGACGGAGCAACGCCGCGUGAGUGAUGAAGGGUUUCGGGUCGUAGAACUCUGUUGUGAGGGAAGAACAAGUGCUAGUUGAAUAAGCUGGCACCUUGACGGUACCUAACCAGAAAGCCACGGCUAACUACGUGCCAGCAGCCGCAGUAA